AAUGGGGGCAACCCUGAUCUAGCCAUGCCGCGUGAGUGAUGAAGGCCUUAGGGUCGUAAAGCUCUUUCGCCUGUGAUGAUAAUGACAGUAGCAGGUAAAGAAACCCCGGCUAACUCCGUGCCAGCAGCCGCGGUAAUACGGAGGGGGUUAGCGUUGUUCGGAAUUACUGGGCGUAAAGCGCACGUAGGCGGAUUGGAAAGUUGGGGGUGAAAUCCCGGGGCUCAACCCCGGAACUGCCUUCAAAACUAUCAGUCUAGAGUUCGAGAGAGGUGAGUGGAAUUCCAAGUGUAGAGGUGAAAUUCGUAGAUAUUUGGAGGAACACCAGUGGCGAAGGCGGCUCACUGGCUCGAUACUGACGCUGAGGUGCGAAAGUGUGGGGAGCAAACAGGAUU
rnacentral:rRNA from 1 species